GACGAACGCUGGCGGCGUGCUUAACACAUGCAAGUCGAACGAUGAAGCCGGAGCUUGCUCUGGUGAAUUAGUGGCGAACGGGUGAGUAACACGUGAGUAACCUGCCCUUGACUCUGGAAUAACUGCUAGAAAUGCUAGCUAAUACCGGAUACGACCCUCGGCGGCAUCGCCAGGGGGUGGAAAGAAUUUCGGUCAAGGAUGGACUCGCGGCCUAUCAGCUAGUUGGUGAGGUAACGGCUCACCAAGGCGACGACGGGUAGCCGGCCUGAGAGGGUGACCGGCCACACUGGGACUGAGACACGGCCCAGACUCCUACGGGAGGCAGCAGUGGGGAAUAUUGCACAAUGGGCGCAAGCCUGAUGCAGCAACGCCGCGUGAGGGAUGACGGCCUUCGGGUUGUAAACCUCUUUUAGUAGGGAAGAAGCGAAAGUGACGGUACCUGCAGAAAAAGCACCGGCUAACUACGUGCCAGCCGCCGCAGUAA
rnacentral:rRNA from 1 species